CAGCAGCCACGGGAAUACAGAGGGUGCGAGCGUUAAUCGGAAUUACUGGGCGUAAAGGGCGCGUAGGCGGUUAGGAAGGUGUGAUGUGAAAGCCCUGGGCUUAACCUAGGAAGUGCAUCGCAAACCAACUAGCUGGAGUAUAAGAGAGGGUGGCGGAAUUUCCGGUGUAGCGGUGAAAUGCGUAGAGAUCGGAAGGAACGUCAAUGGCGAAGGCAGCCACCUGGCUUAAUACUGACGCUGAGGCGCGAAAGCGUGGGGAGCGAACAGGAUUAGAUACCCGCGUAGUCCCUGUCUCUUAUAC
rnacentral:rRNA from 1 species